GGGCGAUUAGCUCAGAGGAAGAGCGCUGCGUUUACAUCGCAGAUGCGGGGGUUCGAGUCCCUCAUCGCCCA
rnacentral:tRNA from 1 species